UGACAGCGGCGGCUGCUCCAGACACGGGCGGCGGUGGCGGCGGCGGCGGCAAGGCAGCAGCAGCAGCGGCGGCGGCGGCGACCCCGUGGCGGGCGCGGAGAUGUGGCCCCUGGUGGUGCUGCAGCUGCUGAACUUAGCGUACUGCGGUUCAGCUCAGCUAUUAUUGAAUGUAACCAAAUUUGUAGAAUACACCAACUGCAACAAUACUAUUCUCCUCCCAUGCAUCGUUUAUAAUAUAGAGGCAACUGCCCUUGCCGAUCUCUUUGUAAAGUGGAAAUUAGGAGGAAGCUACAUUUUUACCUAUAAUGGAGCUACCAAUGAGUCCAUCCCCUUCAACUUUACGAGUGCAAAGAUCUCAACACGAGAUUUACUAAAAGGCAAUGCCUCUUUGGAGAUGGAUAGGAAGGAUGCCGUUCCAGGAAACUACACCUGUGAAGUAACAGAAUUAAGCAGAGAAGGUGAAACCACCGUUGAACUAAGAUAUCAUACUGGGUUGACAAGCCAUGCCUGUGCUGGAAAGAAUAGAUUAGGAGGAGAAUCAAGAGAUUGGAAAUCAGUUUCAUGGUUUUCUCCAAAUGAAAAUAUCCUUAUUGUUAUUUUCCCAAUGUUGGCUAUACUUCUGUUCUGGGGACAGUUUGGUAUUGUGACACUUAAAUAUAAUUCCAGUAUUAUGAAGGAGAAAACCAUUCUUUUGUUUAUUGCUGGACUGGUGCUCACUGUAAUUGUCAUUGUUGGAGCCAUUCUUUUCAUCCCAGGUGAAUAUUCAACAAAGAGAGCUAGUGGACUUGGUUUAAUUGUUGUUCCUACAGUGAUGUUAAUAAUACUUCAGUACUCUAUAUUUAUUAUAACUCCAGGUAUUGGAAUGUCCUCCUACAGCAUUGCUAUAUUGAUCCUUCAGAUCCUGGGCUUCGUGCUCUCUGUGGUUGGGCUAAGCCUCUGUGUUACAGAGUGUGCCCCAGUGCAUGGCCCUCUUCUGAUUUCAGGUUUGGGUAUUGUAGCUCUAGCAGAAUUACUUGGAUUAGUUUAUAUGAAAUUGACUGAGUUCAGAAGCAUACCUUUCUUCAGCUGAAGGCAAGAAGAGAAAAAGCGGCCAAUCAGAGGACUAUACAACCACCUAGGAUCAUAAUUUGAACUGGCCCCAAAAGCAGUUAGAAUGUUCUGUCUAUGCCUUGGGAAGAAUCUAGCAUUUAAAGAAUCAAAAGGAAUGAUGAAUGAUGAGUAACUGAAGUGAUGGACUCUGAUUUGGGGAAAGUAAGGUGAAAAGAAUAUACUUUCUAAAGCACCAUGGCCUUGAUUCACUGUUCAAGAGAAGAAAACAAGAAAAGUAACUGGUUUUCACUUAUGAAAGUAAAUCAUUUAAAUGGUUGUUGAAGUUAUGUUUUUAUUCAAAGCAUUUUUAAUUUAGUUAAUAAAAUAAUUAUGAUAUGUGUUGUGUGCCCAAUUGAGAUCCAGUUUUUUGUUGUGAUUUUUAUUCAAUUAGGCGCAAAAAGUAGAGUUGGCAGCUUCCAAGAAUGAUGCCUUUCAGAUCCUAGGACCUCUUGAUCCUAGGUCACCAGAAGAGAAUCAGUUGAAGAAGAGAAUUACCUGGCACUAAUUUGGUGGCUACCCAGAGAUAUCUUUGAAAAACAGUGGCUUCCAUCGAACCUUAGCAAACUCAGGUUCAUAGCCACUUUGGCAGUCACGGUGUUCACUGAAUAAUGUGUCUGCCAAUUCCGGGUCAAGGGAAGAGCAAAUUAAGUACAUAUAGUUGGUUGGGAACAUUUUGUAUGCUGCCUUCGUGUGAUGUAAUACUGAUGGAGAUCGUGGUCUUCAUUCUUGGGGUUGCCAUUCACACAUUCUUCCUUCAACAUACAGUGUAACAGAUUCUUUGCAGUGUAAGGGUAAUUGAUGUAUGUGUUUUUCUUUUAUUCACACAACUCUUUAAACCCUGUCUUGUCCUCCUGUUAUUUGCUUCUGCUGUACCAAGAUAUAGCACCUUUUCUCCUCUUUGAACGUGGUCCAGUGAUACAGUAGCAUCAUUGCAGAAAGGAGCCAGACUUGUUCUCAGAGAACUAUGUUCACACUUUUCAGCAAAAAUAGUGAUGGUUGUAACAUAUGCAUUCCCUUCCUUGGAUUUGAAGGCACAAUCUACAGUGUUUCUUCACUUCUUUUGUGACCUGGGGCAUGAAAAACCAAGAUUGAGAUUUGAACUAUGAGUCUCCUGCAUGGCAACAUAACGUGCGUCACCGUCUGGCCAAUAGACCAGCCCUCGAAAGGGUGGUUUUAUUACUGUUGUAUCUAUGUUGCAUGAUAAACAUUCAUCAUCUUCCUCCUGUAGUCCUGCCUCGUAUUCCCCUGACUCUGAGAUUGAAAAGUAAAACAAAACCCCCACAUUUCCUACCCCCAUUAGAAGAAAAUUAACAUUCUGACAGUUGUGAUCGCCUGGAGUACUUUUAGACUAUUAGCACUCGUUUUCCUCCUUUGUGGGUGUGUGUUUGUAUGUGCACAUGUAUCAGAUAGGCACAUGCGUCUUCUGUAUGGACAACCAUGGGGUACCUACAGGAGAGCAAAUGCUAUUCAUGCUUUUAGCAAAAACAUUUAAAAACAAAGAUCUUUAUUGGGUGGGAUUAUAGUUGAUGCGAAUAUUUGAUCUCGCAAAACUUUAAAAACUUCUAGGUAAUUUGCCAAGUUUUUUGACUGCUCACCAGUACCCUCUAAAAAUACUAGAGAUUCUUUCUCUUUGUGUAAUAAUAAGACAUUCACAUUUGUAGUUGUAUUACUAAUAGACAUUUCGUAGUCCACUGAAUGUUCCCAUGUGCCUCUUUUAUGCCAAAUUGUCACAUUUCAUGUUGGGACCAAGUGGUUUGCCCAUGGCAGCCCUAACUUUAUGACCUGCUGAUGCCUCUCUGAAAACUGAACACACUAUGAAAACAGCUCUUCUUGAAAAAAACAAAUAAAUGAAAAUAAUGUUUUCCUAAUUGUGUUGCUGUUCAAAAUAUUAUCAUACGUAGAGGGAGCUGUAUUCCUUUAUACAGAUCUUGUGGCUUCUGCUGCUCUUUUUCCUUCUGAAAAUAUUUCUAUUUUAGUAAUAUCAUUUGUUACUUUAAAAAUCAAUUUUGUUGAAAGGAGGAAAACAGCAGAUGGACUUGAAAAAGAUCCAAAUUCCUAUUCUGUAUUAAGAAAAAGUCAGGUAUGAAAAUCUUUAUAGUAAACUUUUUUAUAAACUAACGUACCUUUUAAUAUGCAGUAAACUCCUUUAUUUGGGAUCCAGCAUUGGGACUUAUCCAUCCUUUGAGUUCUCUGUAAUGCUGCCUAUUUUUUGAGGCAUUCACUGCCCUAGACAACGCACAGAGGUAGCAGGAGAAAUGCCAGAGGAAAUCAACUCUUGUUCUUACUAGUUGUCAGCUUCCCUGAAAAAGGGACCACAGCAGCAGGAGCCCUCUUGCUUGGGCAUCAUUGGGCCAGUUCAUUCUUUUUCAAUCAGACUUGUAAUGGCUCUAAAUUUUCUAUCACACCUAAUUAAAAUUGCUAACAAUAUUUUGGGCAUCAUGGACCUGUUCCCCCCCACCACCACCACCACCACCGUAAUCUGCUUUGGACUCAUUCCAAUUUUUGCCAUUGACUCUUCUGUUCAGUUUUAUUUUAUGUCCCCAGUGUGACGCCAUUUGUCAUUUUUGCAACAACUGUUUCAACUUUUUUGGCCAAAUCAAAUUUAUUCUGUCCUUCAAAACAGUAUCCUCCAGUCCUUCCUCCUCCACUGGCUCCUCUUUGCAGCCUAUCCCCAUCUGUCUAGCUGUCCCUUUCAUCUUUACAUACCUUUCCCAGUGCUUCAUGUCUCUCUGCUUAGCUCAACUGGUUUAUUUGUAUUGCUUCUCUCACUUGAUUUUAAAAUUUCUCCAUCGCAAGAGCUGUUUUUUUAUUCUUCCUGCAGUGUUUUAUAUACAUUAGAUACUCAGUAUAUGUUUGAUGAUUGAGAGUUGACUGUAUGUAGGUAUCCCACUAUUUUUAAUAGGGUAAGCUAGAGAGUUUUGUUGUUUUUUGUUUUUUGACAAAUUUCACAGGCUCUGAAAACCUUAAAAGAUGAUGAUUUGUCACCUGGGAACUCCAGGUCCAUUUUGUUUAAAUUUCUGAGAAUGUUAGAAUUCAAAUAAUGAGGCUGUCCCAUAAUUGGGAGCGUUGCUCUUUUUAGGAUGCUGUAGUCAAUCCAGUAAAUGACCAAAUUGCAGUUUGAGUUAAUAAAGCUCAAAAAGUGAUAAGUUUGCUCCUCUAUCUCAUUAAUAAGAAUUAAGCUCUAUAUCACCUUCUAGAUUUCUCUUAUACUAAAAUUAAUAUUAAAAAACGGACAUCUGUGGUGUAUGUGUGGGAAUACAUACCCCUUUAUUUACCUGUCCUUGGAAACUGGCGAAAUGAUUGCUGGGAAACCCUUUAUUCUUUUAUUGUAUUUGAUGGAGAGUAUGUUGAGAAAGUUUUACAUGUGUCAGAUUUUCAAAAUCACUAACUGACAUCACCCACUGGAGUCCUUUGUUAAGUCAUUUUCCAUGGCUGAUAGGGACAAUCCAGGUAACUUUUAAGAGAUGAGCAGUGAACAGGAGGUUUUCCUGCCUUUGGUUUUUGACAGCUCUUACUUAUCAUGUAAAACCAGCUUUCCCACAAAUUUAGCCUUUAAAAACAAACAAACAAAAAAAAAACAUUUGCAAUCAGCUUCUCUGUAAGGCAGCCGCAGUGGAAUCUUAGAAGUGUUGUUACCAGAGUUGGUGAGAGAGGGAAACAUUUUUGUUUUUAUUAAAUGGAGCAUUAUUUACAAAAAGCCAUUGUCAAGAAUUAGAUCCCACACCGGAUGAAUAUCCAUUAUCCAUUUUAAGUAAAGAAAAGUCCAGUGUUGCUAUGUGCAAGAUCCUCUCUUGGGGUCUUUUUUCCGUAGCAAUUAAAGGUGUGCUAUUUGUCAGUAGCCAUUUUUUGCAGUGAUUUAAAGACCAAAGUUGUUUUACAGCUGUUACUGUUAAAGUUUUUUUUUAUAUGUAUUAAAUCAAUUUAUCACUGUUUGAAGCUUUGAAUAUCUGCAGUCUUUGCCAAGAUACUUUUUUUAUUUAAAAAAAACAUAACUUUGUAAAUAUUACCCUGUAAUAUUCUAUAUACUUAAUAAAACCUUUUAAGCUA